rnacentral:rRNA from 1 species
AGAGUUUGAUCCUGGCUCAGGAUGAACGCUGGCGGCGUGCUUAACACAUGCAAGUCGAACGAAGCACUUUAUUUGAUUUCCUUCGGGACUGAUUAUUUUGUGACUGAGUGGCGGACGGGUGAGUAACGCGUGGGUAACCUGCCUUGUACAGGGGGAUAACAGUUGGAAACGGCUGCUAAUACCGCAUAAGCGCACAGCAUCGCAUGAUGCAGUGUGAAAAACUCCGGUGGUAUAAGAUGGACCCGCGUUGGAUUAGCUAGUUGGUGAGGUAACGGCCCACCAAGGCAACGAUCCAUAGCCGACCUGAGAGGGUGACCGGCCACAUUGGGACUGAGACACGGCCCAAACUCCUACGGGAGGCAGCAGUGGGGAAUAUUGCACAAUGGGCGAAAGCCUGAUGCAGCGACGCCGCGUGAGCGAAGAAGUAUUUCGGUAUGUAAAGCUCUAUCAGCAGGGAAGAUAAUGACGGUACCUGACUAAGAAGCACCGGCUAAAUACGUGCCAGCAGCCGCGGU